rnacentral:tRNA from 1 species
CAGAGAGUAGUUUAAUAAAUAAUAAUUUUGGAGAUUGUAGAAGGCUUGGGUCCUCUCUGA